GCGGGUGUGGCGGAACUGGUAGACGCGCUAGACUUAGGAUCUAGUACUGAAAAGUGUGGGGGUUCGAGUCCCUCCAUCCGCACCA
rnacentral:tRNA from 1 species